rnacentral:tRNA from 1 species
GCUGGGGGUUAUAGCUCAGUGGUAGAGCGCUUGCUUCUCAUGCUUGAGGCACUGGGUUUGAUCCUCAGCACAGCA